rnacentral:rRNA from 1 species
UUCCGGUUGAUCCUGCCGGAGGCCAUUGCUAUCGGAGUCCGAUUUAGCCAUGCUAGUUGCACGGGUUCAGACCCGUAGCAGAUAGCUCAGUAACACGUGGCCAAACUACCCUACAGACGAGAAUAACCUCGGGAAACUGAGGCUAAUGCUCGAUACAGCUCCCAGAUUUGAACAUCGUGAGCUGGAAAUGUUACGGCGCUGUAGGAUGUGGCUGCGGCCGAUUAGGUAGACGGUGGGGUAACGGCCCACCGUGCCGAUAAUCGGUACAGGUGGUGAGAGCCAGAGCCUGGAGACGGAAUCUGAGACAAGAUUCCGGGCCCUACGGGGCGCAGCAGGCGCGAAACCUUUACACUGCACGACAGUGCGAUAAGGGGACUCCGAGUGCGAGGGCAUAUAGUCCUCGCUUUUGUCGACCGUAAGGUGGUCGACGAAUAAGGACUGGGCAAGACCGGUGCCAGCCGCCGCGGUAAUACCGGCAGUCCGAGUGAUGGUCGAUAUUAUUGGGCCUAAAGCGUCCGUAGCUGGCCGAGCAAGUCUGUCGGGAAAUCUAGCAGCUCAACUGCUAGACGUCCGGUGGAAACUGUUCGGCUUGGGACCGGAAGAUCCAAGGGGUACGUCCGGGGUAGGAGUGAAAUCCUGUAAUCCUGGACGGACCACCGACGGCGAAAGCACCUUGGAAGCACGGAUCCGACAGUGAGGGACGAAAGCUAGGGUCUCGAACCGGAUUAGAUACCCGGGUAGUUCUAGCCGUUAACGAUGCCCGCUAGGUUUGGCGCAGGCUACGAGCCUGCGCUGUGCCGAAGUGAAGACGUAAGCGGGCCGCCUGGGAAGUGCGUCCGCAAGGAUGAAACUUAAAGGAAUUGGCGGGGGAGCACUACAACCGGAGGAGCCUGCGGUUUAAUUGGACUCAACGCCGGU